rnacentral:rRNA from 1 species
CCUACGGGGGGCAGCAGUGAGGAAUAUUGGUCAAUGGCCGGAAGGCUGAACCAGCCAAGUCGCGUGAGGGACGACUGCCCUAUGGGUUGUAAACCUCUGUUAUAAGGGAAGAAGAAAUGCUACGUGUAGCAUGAUGCCUGUACCUUAUGAAUAAGCAUCGGCUAACUCCGUGCAAGCAGCCGCGGUAAUACGGAGGAGGCGAGCGUUAUCCGGAUUUAUGGGGUUUACAGGGUGCGUAGGCGGUUUUUUAAGGUAGUGGUUACACGUCGGGGCUUCACCUUGAUUUGCCAUUCAUACUGUCAUCCUCGAGUUCAGACGAGGUAGGCGGAAUCAGUUCCGUAGCGGU